UCUCUUGGCACCAUUCCAACAGGACAA
rnacentral:misc_RNA from 1 species